rnacentral:rRNA from 1 species
UACGUAGGGUGCAAGCGUUAAUCGGAAUUACUGGGCGUAAAGCGUGCGCAGGCGGUUCGCUAAGACAGAUGUGAAAUCCCCGGGCUUAACCUGGGAACUGCAUUUGUGACUGGCGGGCUAGAGUAUGGCAGAGGGGGGUAGAAUUCCACGUGUAGCAGUGAAAUGCGUAGAGAUGUGGAGGAACACCGAUGGCGAAGGCAGCCCCCUGGGUCAAGAUUGACGCUCAUGCACGAAAGCGUGGGGAGCAAACAGG